UACGAGGGUCCCUAGCGUUGUUCGGAAUCAUUGGGCGUAAAGCGGGUGUAGGCGGUUAUUCAAGUCGGGUGUGAAAUCCCUGGGCUCAACCUAGGACGUGCAUUCGAUACUGUUUAACUUGAGUACGGGAGAGGGUAGUAGAAUUCCUGGUGUAGUGGUGAAAUACGUAGAUAUCAGGAGGAACAUCGGUGGCGAAGGCGGCUACCUGGCCCAGUACUGACGCUCAGACCCGAAAGCGUGGGGAUCAAACAGG
rnacentral:rRNA from 1 species